ACAUAAAAAAAUCACCACAAUUAGACCACACAAACUAUAGCUAUGAAUUAUUCUAAUUAAUUAUAGAAAAACACAGAUCUAAAGCUACAAUAAAAAUUUUGUACUAAAGCAUACUAUAUUAUAUGUUCACUAUGUAGAUCUACUUAUCUGGAGUCCAACAAAAUCAGAUUUACUAUUUUAUGAAUUUUAUGUGAUUUACUAUAAUUUUACAAAUAUUCAGCCAAAAUAAAUAAAAAUAAAAAAGACAAAACUGCCUUCAAAACCGCUUAUAGCCAUGUCAGGGACGUAAUAUGCAUGGUUUCAAAAAUUAAGAGAUGUAUUUUACCCGGUUUUGAAGUUCAAGGAUGAAAAUCAGACUUUUGAAAAAGUUGAGGGACGUAAAGUUGACUUUUUUCUAUUUCAGAACACAGUAACAGUAGGCCC
rnacentral:lncRNA from 1 species